AGAAUUGGCUCGUUAGCAGCAAUCGGAGGUAAUCCCAAAUACUCAUCGUCACGAUCAUCAGCCGACGCCGAUACGCGCAAAAGCCACGACACGUCUGCGAUAGAAUUUUCCAACUGAGACGACAUUUUUCCAGCUGCAGGGAUUAUGGUGAAAACGCGUUUCAUGAGGCCGUUAGCUCGGCAUUUCUGUACCAGUGCCAGAGCCUUGUCAAGUACUUGCUCUGUGUCUUCAAUGAUCCGGCGCGUAGGCCGCUCGUAAAGGUCGGAGCUGGCUCGAGCGGCUUGCCGAAGCAAAGCGGCGAGCUUUUCCGUCUUGGAUUUGAGUUCAGCGCACUCUUGUUUAAAAGCGCUGGCUUCAUCAGCAGCUUUGAUUACUUGGUCAGCAAGCUGGAUAGGCUUUGCCAAGAUUUGUUUCACCAAGUCCGCCAUGGAUUAACCACA
rnacentral:misc_RNA from 1 species